rnacentral:rRNA from 1 species
GACGAACGCUGGCGGCGUGCUUAACACAUGCAAGUCGAACGGAAAGGCCCUGCUUUUGUGGGGUGCUCGAGUGGCGAACGGGUGAGUAACACGUGAGUAACCUGCCCUUGACUUUGGGAUAACUUCAGGAAACUGGGGCUAAUACCGGAUAGGAUCUCCUGCUGCACGGUGGGGGUUGGAAAGUUUCGGCGGUUGGGGAUGGACUCGCGGCUUAUCAGCUUGUUGGUGGGGUAGUGGCUUACCAAGGCUUUGACGGGUAGCCGGCCUGAGAGGGUUGCCGGCGACAUUGGGACUGAGAUACGGCCCAGACUGCUACGGGAGGCAGCAGUGGGGAAUAUUGCACAAUGGGCGGAAGCCUGAUGCAGCAACGCCGCGUGCGGGAUGACGGCCUUCGGGUUGUAAACCGCUUUCGCCUGUGACGAAGCGUGAGUGACGGUAAUGGGUAAAGAAGCACCGGCUAACUACGUG